rnacentral:rRNA from 1 species
ACAACUAGUAGCACUGGAUCCCUUGGCACGUCAUUCGAUGAAGAACGUAGCAAUCUGCGAUAAGUGGUGUGAUAUGCAAGUCCACAGCUUAUACGUGAACCAUUGAAUCUUUGAACGCACUGCACUAUCCGGACGACACCCCCGUGAUAGUAUGCCCCAUU